GCACUGCUGAGGAGUCCCACAAUAGGAUGAAACGACCGUCCAGUGU
rfam:Schistosoma mattheei strain Denwood, Zambia genome assembly, scaffold: SMTD_scaffold0011293